rnacentral:tRNA from 3 species
GGGCGAUUAGCUCAGCGGUAGAGCGCAUCCUUCACACGGAUGAGGCCAUUGGUUCGAGACCAAUAUCGCCCACCA